UAUGAUUGGUUGAUUUACCCGAAGGGAGGCUAGACUCCUUUACGAGGUUUCUUUUCUCAACACUUCUCAGCGCUGAAAGUGAACACUCGAUGCUGAUUGGCUAAUUAGUUUUUACCAACUGAGGCACGAGAGCUCCACUCUCCCCCGGCCUCCCCCUCCCCUUCUCUGUCACCUAGCGGUUGUAAUUACAUCAGCAGAUUCGCGAUAGAAAAGGGGCGCUUUCCAACUUAAGUAACAUGUUAUGGUAUUACAGCUGUGAAAUUACAAACAAAAAAUACACAUUCUGAGACAUUAGCUGAAAUUAAUUGUGAAUUUUGUUAACUUUAAAUAGUCCUCCUCUCAUUUUCACCUCAAAAUUUUGACGAGCCGUCCCUGACUUUUUAUAGGCACUGUAUUUCUCUCCUGCUCUUCUAUUCUCCUCUCUGUCACCUAGCCUCCCUUCUUUGGCCUGCCACUAGCUGAUCUGGUUGAUAUGUUGCCUUGCGAAGACAGGAAAUGAAACCUUUCAUUCCUCCCCAGUUGCAGCCCCUUUAUCAAAAGCGAGUGGGUUUCUUCAUCGCAGCCCACUGGCUAAUGAACUCAUUUUGUGCGCAUAGAAUGCCUUCUUAUCUCAACAAAUACACACACGCACACCCUUUCAUCUCCUCCUUUCCCCAAAUCUCAAUACACUGCUAGUAUACCUGUUUUCAUAAGGCUCAGAACUUUAACUUCCACCCACCUUUUUUAUAGCCUGAAGUGCUGAGAGUAAAAGACCACACAGGCCACAAACGAAAGGUUGGGGGGAAAUGGAUGUGGUAGCCUAUCUCAGAUGUCAAAAGUUAAAACAUUACAAUUUUGCAUCACUUUUCGCAACAGUUGCACACAUAAUCUAGGAAGUGACGCCAUCUGGUGGAAGAUGGAGCUAUUACAUUUGUAGAGGUUAGUUUGAUAGGCACAAACACACUGUUCAUUACCUUCAUGUUAAUUAAUUUAAUACAUGUUAAUUAAUUAACCUUUUUAAAAUUAAAAGCAUCCUCUUUGACUGUCUUACUUUUUUCCAUUCUGACGUGUGAAAUAGAUUUUUUUCAGAAGUUGAUGUGGAUAAUCUGCAUUAUAAAACGUCUUUGCAAUUAAAUUAAUAGAUCAUUUAGGGAAAGAUUUUAUAGUUUAUCAUUUAUGGAGAGAUUUACACUCUUUCUAGUUACAAUUGCAUACGAAUACCAAAAAGAUGAUUUAGCUUAAUAUGAGUCGAAGACAAAUUAUGCCUGCACUUCUCCUGAUGACUUUACAGAAAUAAUGAAAAGUAGAUGUGGAAAAGUAAAAGAGACACAAAACAAAUAACUACAGAAUACACAUCUAGUGUUAUAAUUUCGUUUGAUUUGAUCUUCUUUUUUUCAAUCACGUGACUACCAACAGGAGGGACUUUGCGUGUCUUCUUCAGGACAAGACAAGAGUUUCCUCAACCAUCGAACUGGAUGGUAAAAUAUCCUGCAAAAUCAUGGACCGACUUGUGACCGUCAUUGGACAACAACAUAUAGGUCUGACGGUGGGAUUGAGUUUGAUGAUCAUCGUUGUGAUAAUCGUCCUCGCGGCGGUUGUUUACACUCCACCGGGCGCUACAACGCGCUGCUUGAGAAGAAACAGGAGCGAAGAACACCUCUCUCUGACUGCUAACAGAAUUUCAUGACUGCUAACAGAAACAUAUGAACUUUAUGGACCUCUUUAGAUGGUUUAUGAAAAACGACUUACAAACAAAUCACAGUUUCCAAAAUCAUGGAAAUGUAAUAAAAUGUCAGUGACA